rnacentral:rRNA from 1 species
AUGGACUUUAAGUUCCUGGAACUGGCAAUAAGAGGGUAUCAUGUACAUGAUGCCCCUGGGUCGGUGUCGGCGCGAGCUGAUGUGGUCUCGUCGUGGCUACGUAGAUGGGGAGGUGGGGUGGAGGCUGAGACUGCAUCGGGAAAAAACACAAAAGAGCAAGAUCGUAGUGUUGUACUAUGGCAUGGUCAUGUGUGUGGCCUCGGCACAGCGUUGUACUGUGGAAUGGUUGUGUGUGUGACCUUGGUGCAGCGGCAAAGAGUAGUCUUCAGAGCAGGGCAGUGGCACACACAAAUGAGCGGUGGUACGCAUCUGAUUGUCACCGUCGGAUUCAGAGUGAUCCAUCAAAUUCGCUGUCAUUUUUUUACUUUACAAAAUCAUAUAUUCAUGGUUUAUCUCUUUUUAAGGAUCUCUUGGAAGUGGAGAGAGAAGCAACAUGCUCAUGAAUUUGAAAAAUGA